rnacentral:rRNA from 1 species
AUACGGAGGAUCCGAGCGUUAUCCGGAUUUAUUGGGUUUAAAGGGUGCGCAGGCGGGAGAUUAAGUCGGCGGUGAAAUUUUGCCGCUCAACUGUAAAAAUGCCUUCGAAACUGGUUUCCUUGAGUGUAGUAGGAGGAGGGGGAAUUUGUGGUGGAGUGGUGGAAUGCAUAGAUAUCACGAGGAACUCCGAUUGCGCAGGCAGCUUACUAAACUACUACUGACGCUCAGGCACGAAGGCGUGGGGAUCAAACAGGAUUAGAUACCCUGGUAGUCCACGCAGUAAACGAUGAUUACUAGCUGUUUGCGAUACAAUGUAAGCGGCUGAGCGAAAGCGUUAAGUAAUCCACCUGGGGAGUACGUUCGCAAGAAUGAAACUCAAAGGAAUUGACGGGG